GUGGGGAAUAUUGGGCAAUGGGGGAAACCCUGACCCAGCAACGCCGCGUGAAGGAAGAAGGCUUUCGGGUUGUAAACUUCUUUUAUGAGGGAAGAUAAUGACGGUACCUCAUGAAUAAGCCACGGCUAACUACGUGCCAGCAGCCGCGGUAAUACGUAGGUGGCAAGCGUUGUCCGGAUUUACUGGGUGUAAAGGGCGUGUAGGCGGGACUGCAAGUCAGAUGUGAAAUUUCGGGGCUCAACCCCGAAACUGCAUUUGAAACUGUGGUUCUUGAGUAUCGGAGAGGCAGGCGGAAUUCCUAGUGUAGCGGUGAAAUGCGUAGAUAUACGGAGGAACACCAGUGGCGAAGGCGGAUUACUGGACGAUAACUGACGCUGAGGCGCGAAAGCGUGGGGAGCAAACAGGAUUAGAUACCCCUGUAGUCC
rnacentral:rRNA from 1 species